UAUCUAUUUUAUUAACAGAACUUAUUACUUAGGAUUUUACAGAGUUUGCCUUAAUAUAAUACAAAGUAAUUAUUCCAGAAAAAAAUAAAUGCCUCCUUUUCACACACAGACAUACACAGUAUCUCUCUCUCUCUCUCUCUCUCUCUCUCUCUCUCUCUCUCUCUCUCUCUCUCUCUCUCUCUCUCUCUCUCUCUCUCUCUCUCUCUCUCUCUCUCUCUCUCUCUCUCGACAAUAUUUACACUAUCACCACACGUCAGCCUUAUCAGCUAAUCCUAAAGAAAAUUGAUAAUAAAAAUGAAUAAAAACGCGUUAUUUUACAUCAUAGACUAAAGCAAAACGUGAUCGGAGAGGCGGCGCUCGGAACAUCUCGUCAGCGUAGCCGCCAGCCCUCCCGAAGACGGUGAGGUGGAGAGAACACGUUAUUUGAUCCUUAGAGUUCUAUCUUAGUUUACGUGUAGAAAUGUUAUACACACCCUCUGGAGCUCGUUCACACACACACACACACACACACACACACACACACACAGAGGCAAGCACAUAAGCACACAUCACUGCCUAGCUCAGCCCGUUUAUCAAGGGUGGAAUGACAGUGCAAUAGUAUGUGUGUGUGUGUGUGUGUGUGUGUGUGUGUGUGUGUGUGUGUUCUCCAGGAUUUGUACAAAAGUCUAUAUGCAAAAUCUAUACAAACUUACUGCUAUACUUUACUAAUUCAUUUAUUCAAUUGUCAUAUAUAUUUUAACAGCAUUGGCAGGAUUGAUAUAUUGAUAUAAACUCUGAAGGUCCAAGCUUUGUGUAUAAAGUUUAUGUAUUUAAGACUCAGGUUAUACUUAUUUGUUGUCAUUUGAACAUUUAUAAGUCUUGCCCUGGUGUGUGUCUAUUCUAGUCAUACAAAUCUGAUCGGAACAUAGGGCCAGUUUCACAGUUCCCCAUGAUGGGUUAGUAAGCUCCCAAACCAAUACCAGAGCCUUCGAAAUUUCCUUGUAUAGUGUCUGCUGUUAAUAUUUAAGUUCACAAAUUUGAUGAAACUAUACGGGAAAAGUCUUGUGUAUUUAGUGUGGCAUCGAAGACCUCACCAUUUUGGAUUGUAUGGGAUUCUAUAGUUUGGUUCGGGCUGUUACGAAGACACUGUGUUGGACUGUGAAAUCGGCUCCUUAAAUCGGUGCAACCAAACACUUCCGCUGCAAAUCGGUUUACAUGAACGUUGGAACUGUAGCAGAAUGAGACGAGGAGUCGAAGCAAUAUGUGACGAUUUUUUCUGUACUUUCCUUCACCCGAUAUUGUCAAAGACGCGUUAACGGCCGGUAAUUGAUACACGUUGAUACAGACACAUGAACGUACAGCAAUGCGGGCCUUUCAUUUCGUAUACGUACAUGUCAGCUAAGGCACAUACACAUUGGCAUAAUUGGGACGUGGGUCGUACAAGCGCCGCUACAUGACUAGACACUGCACGGCUCAUAAAAAAUUGGUUCAUCGUGGCCCGAGUCUGGAUGAGGGAUCGAGUCAGUAAUCAGCGGCUCAAGUCUCUAAUAUGGAGGUUCUGAUCCGCUUGUUAGAGGUUCGUUGCGUGGCGUGUUCUGCUGUGUGAGUUUGGAAUAUUAAAAGUCUCACUUCAUAUUCUAUUAUAUUCAGAGAUUAGCGCAAAAAUACGGCGUGCUUUUGUUGUGUUUAUGUCCGGUAAUUGAAAGUUCCUGGUCGUGUUGCUUUUUUUUAGAGCUUGACGAGAGAAAAAAAUGGCAUGUUUUGGAUUUUAAAUAAUGAAUGAAAUAAUCUACGUUUAAAUAAUGAAUGAAAUAUCGUCACCUUCAUGAAAUAAUCGCCUAAGUCAUUUUUCAGCGAUUUCCAGGUUUUUGUCUACAUCAAUUUUUUAACACGUGACGCCCGUUUUUGUAGAGUUGCCUUCGUCAUUCAGGGUUUGAGUGUUCUAGAAUUGGCCUUUUCAUUCCUGCCUAAAUCUUAAGCCAAAUGAGAUAAUGACAGUUCUUUUCCUAUUUCCUGUAAAGUAGAAAAUAAUGACAUAGGCGGUUUGCUUACGAAGGUGACGAUAAUCUACGUGUUGAUGUAUAGACGUACUGAGGUUUUGCUCAUAUUACGCAAUUUUUUAAGGAUCAACGUAAUAGGAUCAGAAUACUUAAAAAAAUAUUACAGUGGUGGGCUUAAUGUUCCUUCCCUUCGCUUCGUGGAAUAAACUGCGAUUCUAAAAUAUGUACAGGCGAAGAAAAAAGUUUUAGGUCAUCAGAAGAAAAAAAAUGUGGGCAAGAUGUCUGUGUUAUCAGCAGUUCGUGACCUACAAUCUACGAAAUCGUGCGACUCUUAAGCUAAUGAGGAGAGAAAAAAAACAUCAUGAAACUGGAAUAAAAAUGAGGAUGGAGGUGGUGGUGGUGGCGGCUUGACCGUACAGCACGCGAGGGAAAGUAAAAAAAAUAAAAACAAGAAAAGAAAGCAAAUAUUUUUUCGCACAUGUUUUUUUUCCACUUUUCUUGAGGCAUGUUGGGUUAAUCUGCCUAGCACACGAGUCUGACAGUCCGGAUAAAGAAGAAAAGACAACGAAGGAAAAGGAGUUCCGAUAUUUUGUGCACAUUUUUCACCCUCUCUCUUCAGACGUCCUUCGCGGUUUUCCUCAAGGCCGCCAGAGGGAACCUGAAUCGAGGCUUGCCUGUUCCUCGCUUCCGCUGGCACCUCCAUCGCCUUUCACUUCCGAUGCUUGCUUUUCUUUCUCUCCGUUUUGAUAACCUUUCACUACUCUCUCACUGACUGCCCUGAAAACGAGUGAACCGUCUCUCCUUUUCCUUCCUUCCUUUCUUCCUUCCUUUCUUCUUUCCUUCUGUCUUCCCUUCCUUUCCGUUUUGACUACCUUUCACUGUCUCUCCCUUUCAAUGAUUGCCAGAAAACGAAUAAACUUUGCUUUUUUUCUUCUUCCUUCCUUCUUUCCUUCAUCCUUCCUUCCAUCCUCUCUCUUCCCUUUUCUUUUUAUUUUGAUUUCCUUUUACUAUCUCUCCCUCUCUCCCUCUCUCUCACUGACUGCCCGGAUAACGAAUGAGCCUUUUCUCCAUUUUCUUUCUUCCUUUCUUCCUUCCUCAAGCGCAUUCAAAGCCUCUUCCCCACAGUGCUGUUCCAGAGAGCGGCUCGUCAAUGCCCGGGACCUUUGCUUAGCUUAAAUCGCUCCCUCGGCUGCUAAUUGUUUUCUCUCCUCGAAGUUGAAACUCGAGUUCGUAAGUGUCCUAAAGUGUGUGAGUGGGAAGUCGACGGUUGGGCUGGGUGGUGGUGUGGUGGCGGAUGCAAGUGACUGGGUUCUGGGUUCGAUGUUAAGUUUUUUUUAAUAGCUCUUUUGUGUGCGAGUUCGUAGUAUGCUGGCCGAUGAGAACGCUUUGUCAACUUCUGAACUUUUUGGUGUCUCGCAUUUGCGACGGUGAUUCGAUCUGAAGGGAUUAUUAGUGACCUUUUUAUGUGGAAGUUCGUAUCAUGCUGGCCUUUUUAGAACGUUCUGGCAAGUUCUGUAUGUCUGUCUGUCAGCGUAACUCCGUAUUUCCUUGAUAUUUGGUUUAAGAUUUUUUUUCCGCCUCUGCACGGGGGCAAGAGAGGAGGGAAGGCGGGGCGAGGAUUGUGGAAGAAAAUUGUGGUUGUUGGGGAAACUCUGCGCUUACUUUUCUCUUCCUGUUUACAAGAUGUCACUCUGCUAUUUGCAUCUGGUUACACAAGUUGUUCUUUUGCUCCUCUUUUUCUAGCAGUUGGUGCGAACUUUUUCAGAGUCCGAGACGAGCGAGAGGGAGAGGGAAGGCGGUGUUUUAUGGCCCGAAACAUGACAAACACACACGAGAAUUCCGAGUUUCAGGAUGUUUGGAAAGAGGAGGGGAAAUGUUUGAGUAAUUCCAGGCAGUUUGCACUCCUUCACUUUUCCUUUCGCUCCCCACGGAUCCGUCUGUGAACAAGGCCUGGUGUGGUUCAUCCCCUUCCUCACACGAGCCCUUUGUGCCCAGCUCGCGAGGGCCCGCAGGUGUCAGGCACUUCGAAGAAAACGGAAAUUCUGUACUCCGAGACAACGUUGCGUGUUCUUUCAUUCGUGUCUUCGCAUUUUACCUGUUAAUCCAUUACAUGCCGGCCCUUCCUCCCUCCUCUUUCCCUUCUUUGUCCUGCACUCCUGAAGGUUGGCUGGCGGCGAGGUCCUGUGCAUCAUAUAUCAGGGAAAGGCCGCUGCUGAGGUGGGGGAAGGCGCCGAGAAAGAAAGAGGAAAAUAAUAUAGAAGUCAGAACGUCUUCUCUAUAAUAUAUACCCUCGACUUCUUCCUUCGUUCUCUUCUCCCUCAAUUGACGUCUUAAGCUGCGCCUCCUCCGUUAUCUGACUUCUUUCUUUUCUUCAGUAUUUCUUUUUGUCCAGUUCGAGCAAAGGGAUAAAUAUUUAAGCAUUUAGGUAUCUGACUCCCACCUGCGAAGGCGACACAGGUGAGGGAACCAUGAAAGCUCGGGGAAAAAAAUCUCUUUAGGAAACGAGGAACUUGUUGAAAAUUUAUGUCUCGAGAGGAAUGACACUGUGAUUAAGAAAUGGGCGUCUUGAAGGAGGAGGAGGAGGAGGAGGAGGAUAUCGCUGAAGGAGAAAAUAUUGGACCAGGUACUGAGGACAUUAUUCUCCUGAAAAUAUGUACCUUGUGAGUGAGAGUGAGGGACAGGGAGGGACAGGGAGAGAGGGAGGGAGAGAGAGAGAAAAAAAAGAGAGAGAGUUACUAGGAGGGACAGGAAGGGAGAGGGGGAAGGGAGGAGAGGCCUUGUGAGCGACGUGGAGUGAGGAUAAUGCUUUUUACGGAAGGUACCUGAGACACGCUUCAGGGGAGAGAGCUUGCAUGUUAGACAGUCUCUCUCUCUCUCUCUCUCUCUCUCUCUCUCUCUCUCUCUCUCUCUCUCUCUCUCUCUCUCAGCCUCAGGUCCUUUCUCAGAACUAAGUGCCUCUUAAGUGCUUCUCAGCUUCUGAUGACCCAAGGCUCCCCCAGGCCAGCCAGGCAUGAGAGGGCGACAUCCUCCCCAUCUGGCCCUUCAUGCAGCACUGGAGGCCCUCACGUCGCUGCCUGACCCUUUAUCCUCCUACCUAAGCUUGUCGGGGUAUCAGGUCUCGCUUCUCUCCUCUCCUCUUCUCUUUUCUUCUUUUCUCUUGGCUUCUGGGUUUCUUCUUGCUUGCGUUGGGUUCUGUUUCUCUCCUCUCUUUUUUGGGGGGCGAUCUUCUUCUGUUUUUGUUCUCUUUUUGUAGUGGUUUCUCUCCUCUCCUCUUUUCCUCUUUUCUUCUUUCAUCUCUUUGCUUCUCUUUUUCUAUUCCCUUUUCUUCCCUUCCUUUUUCUUCCUCAGGUGGUUUCUUGUUCCUUCUCACAAUUCUCUUUUUUGCAUUGAUUUAUCUUUUUAUUUCUAUUCGUACAAUCACUUUUUAUCUCCGUUUCCCUUUUCCUUCUCUUCACAUAUUCUCUUUCUUUCUCUCUUCUUCCUUUCCUUUCUUUUCUCCUCUUCCGAAUUUCGUCCUGUGGUUCUUUUCUCUUCACUUAAUGGUCCUUCCUCGUCUCCUCUGUGUCUUCCCUAAUGAUCUCUUCCUUUCUCUUCUCUUCUCUCCCUUGUGUUCGUUUUCUCCUCCCUCCCUCUUCUGAAUCUCGUCUUGGGGUUCUUUUCUCUUCUCUUAUUGGUCACUUUUUACUAUGCUUCCUCCUCUCCUCUGUGUCUUCCUUAAUGACGGCUUCCUUUCUCUUUUCUUCUCUCCCUUGUGUUCGUUUUCUCCUCCCUCCCUCUUCUGAAUCUCGUCUUGGGGUUCUUUCCUCUUCUCUUAUUGGUCACUUUUUCCUCUUCUCUUCUGUCUCUUCCCUAAUGAUCUCUUCCUUUCUCUUCUCUUCUCUUCCUUGUGUUCGUUUCCUCCUCAGCUUAGCAACUCGAGGCUUAAGGAAGAGUUUUGGUCACAAGUUCCCCCUUUGACUGACCAGACUCUUUUUCUUUCCCUCCUCUCUGUCUCACACUCUCUCACUCUUUCUCUUUCACUGUGCAACUUCGGGUUUGGAAUAAGUUCUAAUAUUUAUUUUGGGUUCAACUUCAUCCUCACUUGUUUCCCAGUUUCGACGCAGUUCAAGUUUUGGGGGUUGGAGUAUUAUUUUUUUUUUUUGCACGUUUAUUCUUUUUCUCUUCCUAUUAAUUUUUUUUUUAUGCUUGGAUUUAGACAAGCCUUGUAAUUAUGCUUCAUUUCACCUUUUUUUUUAAGUAAACUUUUUUUCUUUUUUCGGUAUUUCGUUGGGGAUAUACCCCAAUGGAGGGAGGCGGUGCAUGCCGCGCAACCCCCCAGACGGCUGGUAGAGAGAUACCCAAUUCUUUUUCAAGGAGGAGGCCCAACAACGGGGCUGAGGGUGUCGGAAAGAGCCCACCUUUCCACCCCCGUGGUAACUGAUAGGUCUCGAACCCACGCCUUAGCACUCCGCCGAAGCGCAAGUCAGAGACUCUACCACGGGACCACGGGAGCCCCCCACUUUAAGUAAACUUUGAAAUGGAGGUCGUUUUCAUUUAGGGAUCUUUUUCAGGUGCUGGUUUUAAUUUUAGGAUCUUUUUCAGGGGCUGUUUUUUUUAGGGAUCUUUUUCAGGGGCUGGUUUUUAUUUAGGGAUCUUUUUCAGGUGCUCGUUUUCAUUUAGGGAUCUUUUUCAGGUGCUGGUUUUCAUUUAGGGGUCUUUUUCAGGACUCGUUUUCAUUUAGGGAUCUUUUUCAGGGGCUGGUUUUCAUUUAGGGAUCUUUUUCAGGGGCUCGUUUUCAUUUAGGGAUCUUUUUCAGGGGCUCGUUUUCAUUUAGGGAUCUUUUUCAGGGCUCGUUUUCAUUUAGUGAACUUUUUCAGGUGCUGGUUUUCAUUUAGGGAUCUUUUUCAGGGGCUCGUUUUCAUUUAGGGAUCUUUUUCAGGGGCUCGUUUUCAUUUAGGGAUCUUUUUCAGGGCUCGUUUUCAUUUAGUGAACUUUUUCAGGGGCUGGUUUUCAUUUAGGGAUCUUUUUCAGGGGCUCGUUUUCAUUUAGGGAUCUUUUUCAGGGGCUUGUUUUCAUUUAGGGGUCUUUUUCAGGGCUCGUUUUCAUUUAGGGAUCUUUUUCAGGUGCUGGUUUUCAUUUAGGGAUCUUUUUCAGGGGCUCGUUUUCAAUUAGGGAUGUUUUUCAGGUACUGGUUUUCAUUUAGGGAUCUUUUUCAGGUACUGGUUUUCAUUUAGGGAUCUUUUUCAGGUACUGGUUUUCAUUUAGGGAUCUUUUUCAGGGGCUCCUUUUCAUUUAGGGAUCUUUUUCAGGUGUUCAUUUUCAUUUAGGGAUCUUCUUCAUAACAAGCAUCGUAACUACAUUCACUCUAUGCUGUUACACUUUUUCUCUUCUCAUUUUCUCUAUCAUCUUUCCUUGUUUUCGUUCCUCUUCCCGGCUCUACGUCUCUACACACCUUCUUUUUCAUCCUCUCUCGUCCUCCCUCUCUCUAUCUCUUUGCCCCUCCUCUCUAUCUCUUCUGUUUUAUCUAUCCGUGUCUCCUUCCUUCCCUCUCUCCUUUUUACUAUCUUCUUCUCCGAUCCUUUUACUCUCCUUUUCUCUUUUCCUUUGUCUUUUCACAGGUAUUUCUGACAUAAUUCUAUCACUUUCUCUUUUUCCCUCCUUUGCCAAACCUUUCAUUCUUUUCUUCUUUCCUUUGUCUUCUUAGUAAAUUCCCUUGACACACUUUCAUCACUUUCCCUCUUUGUGCCUCCCUCCUCCAAACCUUUCAUUCUGCUUUCGCUUUUCUUUCGUCUUUUUAAUAAUUCCUCUGACAAAUUCAUUUCACUUUCCCUCUUGCUUUCGUUCUCAAUGACCUUGCUCACCUUAUCUCCCCUUCUCCUUCCUACCCUUCGCUUCUCUCCCCCUCUCCUUCCUACCCUUCGCUUCUCUCCCCCUCUCCUUCCUACCCUUCGCUUCUCUCCCCCUCUCCUUCCUACCCUUCGCUUCUCUCCCCCUCUCCUUCCUACCCUUCGCUUCUCUCCCCCUCUCCUUCCUAUUCUUCGCUUCUCCCCCUCUCCUUCCUACCCUUCGCUUCUCUCCCCUUCUCCUUCCUACCCUUCGCUUCUCUCCCCCUCUCCUUCCCGUCCCUUCCUUGCCACCCUCAUAGUCGCCCACGCAGCCCCGCACGGUCACACUACCUCAUUCAAGAACACUAAUGGCCCAAGAAGACCCGCCAAGCCCUUGAAGUUUAAUAUAGCGCAGUGGAGUUAGUUCAGCCGAGGCGGAGGCGGACACGCGACUGAUGUUACAAAAGGACUACUUGAGGGUAUUUCUGUGUGUGUGUGUGUGUGUGUGUGUGUGUGUGUGUGUGUGUGUGUGUGUGUGUGUAAAUGGGCGACUUAGGCAGUUCAAGAACACACACACACACACACACACACACACACACACACACACACACACACCGCUCGGGUUCCUAAUAUUUCUUCUUUUCCUUGUUAACAUCUCCUUGUAUUCUUCUCAUUGUAUUUUCUGUGUAUUCUCUGUGUAUUCUCAUUGUAUUCUUCCCUUGUUAACAUAUUGUAUUCUUCACCACUUUUCUGCACUGUUUCCAUGUUACUGACUCAUUUGUUUCUUGUUUCUACUUUUAUUCACGGUCUUUCUGUUUCCACCACACUUUUCUCCGUUCUCUCUCUGUCUUUCCAACGGCACUGUUUUCUUCAGCAUAAUUAUCCUCUUUCACAGACGGCUCCCCUUAAACGUAUUCCACGACACAUAUUGAGGUUUCAGGCUUCGGCGACUUGCUUCAGCUUCCUCGCUAAUCACUACGGUACCGAAAAUAGAUUACUACCUUACACUUACUAAUUCAGGAAGGACACUUAUAGCAUUCAUUAGUCUUCCCUUUGGUGGUUAGCCUAGUCAAAAUAUAUAUAAAAUUAUAUAAAUAUAAAUAUACAUAUGGCAUUCUCUCUCUCUCUCAAAGGAAAAAGUGAUCUCCAGUUUCUCCUGACUCUGCAAGCUCGAUUAACACACUCUAAAUUCUCUCUCUCUCUCUCUCUCUCUCUCUCUCUCUCUCUCUCUCUCUCUCUCUCUCUCUCUCUCUCUCUCUCUCUCUCUCUCUCUCUCUCUCUCUCUCUCUCUCUCUCUCUCUCUCUCUCUCUCUCUCUCUCUCUCUCUCUUAUGAUGUGUGUGUGUGUGUGUGUGUGUGUGUGUGUGUGUGUGUGUGUGUGCUAGUUUAUACAUGUAUUUUUAUGUCAUGUGCGUGUACAACUUGGAUUAUUAUCACACACACACACACACACACACACACACACACACACACAAUCCAAGCCAUCGUCUUCUAAAACAAACACUAUCAAAAUAAACAACAUAGGCUAAACACAAACAGUAACCAUAUUUGUCACCUGGAAACACUUGUGAUUAUAUACCUGUGUUUUCGUUCUUUAUAUUUACAAACAAAUUACUAACAUCAGCAACGUCGGUCUGUAUACAUUUUAAACCCUUUCUUCUGAGAGCUCGGAUAUUCAUGUGGCGCUAAUAUAAGUUUCUGUUUUCUUUCUUUAUUUUUCCUUCGUUUCACAUAGGCAAGCGACAAAGACGGUGAAGAGAAUGAGAUUACCAAAGGAGAAAAGACGAGAAUGAGAAAGUCAGAGAUAGGGAGAGAGAUAAACGAAGUAACAAUGGAGAAGAGACGAGAAUGAGAGAAGCAGAGAAAGGAAGAGAGAGAUAAAUGAAGGGAGAGAGAAAGUGAGAGAGAUAAAACAGAGGACAGGAAUAAGCGAGGCAGGUGAAGGAGGGGAAGAGGUUGCCUGAAUACCUGUAAUUAAGCCUCGGCAGGUGUGUAGCGAGGGGAGAAACGAGGUAUCGGGUCACACACACAUGCAGGGAAACACGACAGUCCUCUCUUAGCGGGAUUGCAACACCUCGAAAGGCGUCUCUCCUUAGCUCCGUCAUUGAAACGUUUACUAUUGCACUAUCUGCUGGUUUCACUUUACAUACUCUGAAUCGUUUUUCUCCUUAGCUUUGUGAUUUCAACGUUUUCUGUCCCACUAUCUAUUUCGAUUUCACUUUACACGAUGAAACGUUUGUCUCCUUAGCUCUGUUAUUCAAACGUUUUCUGUCUCUCUAUCUAUCUAUUUCUAUUUCACUUUACACUAUGAAACGUUUAUCUCCUUAGCUCUGUCAUUCAAACGUUUUCUGUCUCUCUAUCUAUCUAUUUCUAUUUCAAUUUACACUAUGAAACGUUUAUCUCCUUAGCUCUGUCAUCCAAACGUUUUUUGUCUCACCAUCUAUCUAUUUCUUUCUCACUUUACCCUUGAAACGUCUAUCUCCUUAGCUCUGUUAUUCAAACGUUUUCUGUCUGUCUGUCUAUUUGUAUCCCACUUUACACUAUGAAACGUUUAUCUUACUGUAGUCGCCCCUACGAGUCGCGCCUACGGUAUGUUGUAUAUAUGAUGGUGUAGUCGCGCCUACGAUGUGUACGAUGUGUUGUAUAUUAGAUGGUAACUAAUGACAGAUAAGAUAGUAACUGUUAUGGUAGGAAAUGCAUGUGAGGAGUGUUUCUGAAGUCUUCGUCUACCAGUGCCUUCUCGCGUCAUGUUCCCUGCCCGACCCCUGCCGUGCCGUAGAAAAUGGGAUAAUGGCCGGACCGAAGAAAAUGGCUUAUGCAAACACGCACACACAUCAGACAUAUAGGAUAAUCACACACACACACACACACACACACACACACACACACACUACCACUUUCAGACGAAUGCUCAUAUAAAAAAGUGCUCCUCUCAGCUGAUUCCUAAAGCUGUGAGUGUAAGGAGAGUGGAGGGGGGGGGGGGGCAACACUUUGUGAGGAGUGAAGAGGAGGAGGAGGAGGAGGAGGAGGAGGAGAAAGAGGAGAAGCAUGAGUAAGAGGGAGAGGGAGAGGGCGAGGGGGAACAUUAAAAGAUUGAGGAGGAGGGGGAGGAGGAGGAGAAGGAUAAGGAGGAGGAGGAGGAGGAGGAGGAGGAGGAGGAGGAGGAGGAGGAGGAGGAGGUGGGGGAAUGGUGGGUGUAAAGAGUAAAAAAUGGAGGAAGAGGAAGAGGAAGAGGAGGAGUGGGGAGAGGUGCAAGAGAGUAUGGAUGAGGGGGGGUGAGGGAUGGAGAGAAAAAAAAAAACUCUCUCUCUCUCUCUCUCUCUCUCUCUCUCUCUCUCUCUCUCUCUCUCUCUCUCUCUCUCUCUC